rnacentral:rRNA from 1 species
UACGGAGGGGGCUAGCGUUGUUCGGAAUUACUGGGCGUAAAGCGCGCGUAGGCGGGCCUGCAAGUCGGGGGUGAAAGCCCGAGGCUCAACCUCGGAACUGCCUUCGAUACUGCGGGUCUCGAGUCCGGGAGAGGUGAGUGGAAUUCCUAGUGUAGAGGUGAAAUUCGUAGAUAUUAGGAAGAACACCAGUGGCGAAGGCGGCUCACUGGCCCGGUACUGACGCUGAGGCGCGAAAGCGUGGGGAGCAAACAGG